GUAGGUGGGCAAGCGUUGUCCGGGAAUAUUGGGCGUAAAGCGCGCGCAGGGCGGUCCUUUAAGUCUGAUGUGAAAGCCCACGGCUCAACCGUGGAGGGUCAUUGGAAACUGGGGGACUUGAGCACAGAAGAGGAAAGCGGAAUUCCAAGUGUAGCGGUGAAAUGCGUAGAGAUUUGGAGGAACACCAGUGGCGAAGGCGGCUUUCUGGUCUGUAACUGACGCUGAGGCGCGAAAGCGUGGGGAGCAAACAGGAUUAGAUACCCUGGUAGUCCACGCCGUAAACGAUGAGUGCUAAGUGUUAGGGGGUUUCCGCCCCUUAGUGCUGCAGCUAACGCAUUAAGCACUCCGCCUGGGGAGUACGGCCGCAAGGCUG
rnacentral:rRNA from 1 species